AUUGAACGCUGGCGGCAGGCCUAACACAUGCAAGUCGAGCGGAUGAAGGGAGCUUGCUCCUGGAUUCAGCGGCGGACGGGUGAGUAAUGCCUAGGAAUCUGCCUGGUAGUAGGGGAUAACGUCCGGAAACGGGCGCUAAUACCGCAUACGUCCUGAGGGUGAAAGUGGAGGAUCUUCUGACCUCACGCUAUCAGAGGAGCCUAGGUCGGAUUAGCUAGUUGGUGGGGUAAAGGCCUACCAAGGCUACGAUCCGUAACUGCCAUGAGAGGGAGGUCAGUCACCCUGGCUGUGAGACUGGGCCCAGACUCUGACGGGAGGCAGCAGCGCGGACUACUGCACGAUGGGCGAAAGCCUGAUACAGCCCUGCCGAGGGUGCGCAGAAGGUCUUCCGAUUGUAAAGCACAUUAAGUUGGGAGGAAGGGCAGUAAGUUAAUACCUUGCUGUUUUGACGGUACCAACAGAAUAAGCACCGGCUAACUUCGUG
rnacentral:rRNA from 1 species